rnacentral:misc_RNA from 1 species
GAUGAAGAACGCAGCGAAAUGCGAUAAGUAAUGUGAAUUGCAGAAUUCAGUGAAUCAUCGAAUCUUUGAACGCACCUUGCGCCCUUUGGACUUCUGAAGGGCAUGCCUGUUUGAGUAUCAUGAACACCUCAACUCCUUAUGGUCUUCCAUGAUGAGCUUGGACUUUGGGGGUUUUGCUGGCCUACAGUCAGCUCCUAUAAAAUAAAUCAGCUUACCGGUGUUUGGUGGGUAUCAUGGGUGUGAUAACUAUCUACGCUCGUGGUUUUCCACCAGGUAACCUUCAGCAGUGGAGGUUCACUGGAGCUCAUAGAUGUCUCUCCUCAGCGAGGACAGCCCUUUGAAUGUUUGAUCUCAAAUCAGGUAGGACUACCCGCUGAACUUAAGCAUAUCAAUAAGCGGAGGA